rnacentral:rRNA from 1 species
UCGAUUGUCCCAGCCGCCGCGGUAAUACGUAGGGUGCAGGCGUUAUCCGGAAUUAUUGGGCGUAAAGGGCUCGUAGGCGGUUCGUCGCGUCCGGUGUGAAAGUCCAUCGCUUAACGGUGGAUCCGCGCCGGGUACGGGCGGGCUUGAGUGCGGUAGGGGAGACUGGAAUUCCCGGUGUAACGGUGGAAUGUGUAGAUAUCGGGGAGAACACCAAUGGCGAAGGCAGGUCUCUGGGCCGUUACUGACGCUGAGGAGCGAAAGCGUGGGGAGCGAACAGGAUUAGAUACCCUGGUAGUCCACGCCGUAAACGGUGGAUGCUGGAUGUGGGGCCCGUUCCACGGGUUCCGUGUCGGAGCUAUCGCGUUAAGCAUCCCGCCUGGGGAGUACGGCCGCAAGGCUAAAACUCAAAGAAAUUGACGGGGGCCCGCACAAGCGGCGGAGCAUGCGGAUUAAUUCGAUGCAACGCGAAGAACCUUACCUGGGCUUGACAUGUUCCCGACGAUCCCAGAGAUGGGGUUUCCCUUCGGGGCGGGUUCACAGGUGGUGCAUGGUCGUCGUCAGCUCGUGUCGUGAGAUGUUGGGUUAAGUCCCGCAACGAGCGCAACCCUCGCCCCGUGUUGCCAGCGGAUUAUGCCGGGAACUCACGGGGGACCGCCGGGGUUAACUCGGAGGAAGGUGGGGAUGACGUCAGAUCAUCAUGCCCCUUACGUCCAGGGCUUCACGCAUGCUACAAUGGCCGGUACAACGGGAUGCGACAGUGCGAGCUGGAGCGGAUCCCUGAAAACCGGUCUCAGUUCGGAUCGCAGUCUGCAACUCGACUGCGUGAAGGCGGAGUCGCUAGUAAUCGCGAAUCAGCAACGUCGCGGUGAGUGCGUUCCCGGGCCUUGUACACACCGCCCGUCAAGUCAUGAAAGUGGGCAGCACCCGAAGCCGGUGGCCUAACCCCUUGCGGGAGGGAGCCGUCUAAGGUGAGGCUCGUGAUUGGGACUAAGUCGUAACAAGGUAACCA